UACGUAGGGCGCAAGCGUUGUCCGGAAUUAUUGGGCGUAAAGAGCUCGUAGGCGGUUUGUCGCGUCUGCUGUGAAAACCUAAGGCUCAACCUUGGGCUUGCAGUGGGUACGGGCAGACUAGAGUGCGGUAGGGGUGACUGGAAUUCCUGGUGUAGCGGUGGAAUGCGCAGAUAUCAGGAGGAACACCGAUGGCGAAGGCAGGUCUCUGGGCAGUAACUGACGCUGAGGAGCGAAAGCGUGGGGAGCGAACAGG
rnacentral:rRNA from 1 species